rnacentral:rRNA from 1 species
AGCGAACGCUGGCGGCAGGCUUAACACAUGCAAGUCGAGCGGGCACUUUCGGGUGUCAGCGGCGGACGGGUGAGUAACGCGUGGGAACGUGCCCUCUGGUUCGGAAUAACUCAGGGAAACUUGAGCUAAUACCGGAUACGCCCUUUUGGGGAAAGGCUUGCUGCCGGAGGAUCGGCCCGCGUCUGAUUAGCUAGUUGGUGAGGUAACGGCUCACCAAGGCGACGAUCAGUAGCUGGUCUGAGAGGAUGAUCAGCCACACUGGGACUGAGACACGGCCCAGAAUCGUACGGGAGGGAGCAGUGGGGAAUAUUGGACAGUGGGCGCAAGCCUGAUCCAGCCAUGCCGCGUGAGUGAUGAAGGCCUUAGGGUUGUAAAGCUCUUUUAUCCGGGACGAUAAUGACGGUACCGGAGGAAUAAGCCCCGGCUAACUUCGUG